CAUUCCACCUGGGGAGUACGGUCGCAAGACUGAAACUCAAAGGAAUUGACGGGGGCCCGCACAAGCGGAGGAACAUGUGGUUUAAUUCGAUGAUACGCGAGGAACCUUACCCGGGCUUGAAAGUUAGUGACCGUUUUAGAGAUAGAAUUUCGCAGCAAUGCGCACGAAACUAGGUGCUGCAUGGUUGUCGUCAGCUCGUGCCGUGAGGUGUCGGCUUAAGUGCCACAACGAGCGCAACCCUUACCGUCGGUUGCCAGCGGGUAAUGCCGGGGACUUCGAUGGGACUGCCACCGUAAGGUGUGAGGAAGGUGGGGAUGACGUCAAAUCAGCACGGCCCUUACGUCCGGGGCGACACACGUGUUACAAUGGUCGGUACAGAGGGCUGCUACUAGGCGACUAGAUGCUAAUCUCGAAAGCCGAUCUCAGUUCGGAUCGGAGUCUGCAACUCGACUCCGUGAAGUUGGAUUCGCUAGUAAUCGCAUAUCAGCCAUGAUGCGGUGAAUACGUUCCCGGGCCUUGUACACACCGCCCGU
rnacentral:rRNA from 1 species